rnacentral:rRNA from 1 species
AGUGAACGCUGGCGGUAGGCCUAACACAUGCAAGUCGAACGGCAGCACAGUAAGAGCUUGCUCUUACGGGUGGCGAGUGGCGGACGGGUGAGGAAUACAUCGGAAUCUACUUUUUCGUGGGGGAUAACGUAGGGAAACUUACGCUAAUACCGCAUACGACCUACGGGUGAAAGCAGGGGAUCUUCGGACCUUGCGCGAUUGAAUGAGCCGAUGUCGGAUUAGCUAGUUGGCGGGGUAAAGGCCCACCAAGGCGACGAUCCGUAGCUGGUCUGAGAGGAUGAUCAGCCAAACUGGAACUGGGACACGGUCCAGACUCCUACGGGAGGCAGCAGUGGGGAAUAUUGGACAAUGGGCGCAAGCCUGAUCCAGCCAUACCGCGUGGGUGAAGAAGGCCUUCGGGUUGUAAAGCCCUUUUGUUGGGAAAGAAAAGCAGCAGGUUAAUACCCCGCUGUUCUGACGGUACCCAAAGAAUAAGCACCGGCUAACUUCGUG